rnacentral:rRNA from 1 species
CCAGACUCCUACGGGAGGCAGCAGUGGGGAAUAUUGCACAAUGGGGGGAACCCUGAUGCAGCGACGCCGCGUGGGCGAGGAAGUAUUUCGGUAUGUAAAGCCCUAUCGGCAGGGAGGAAGAAAUGACGGUACCUGACUAAGAAGCCCCGGCUAACUACGUGCCAGCAGCCGCGGUAAUACGUAGGGGGCAAGCGUUAUCCGGAUUUACUGGGUGUAAAGGGAGCGUAGACGGUUACGCAAGUCUGGAGUGAAAGGCGGGGGCCCAACCCCCGGACUGCUUUGGAAACUGUAUAACUGGAGUGCAGGAGAGGUAAGUGGAAUUCCUAGUGUAGCGGUGAAAUGCGUAGAUAUUAGGAGGAACACCAGUGGCGAAGGCGGCUUACUGGACUGUAACUGACGUUGAGGCUCGAAAGCGUGGGGAGCAAACAGGAUUAGAUACCCGCGUAGU